rnacentral:rRNA from 1 species
GACGAACGCUGGCGGCGUGCUUAACACAUGCAAGUCGAACGGAGCACCCUUGAAGGAGUUUUCGGACAACGGAUAGGGAUGCUUAGUGGCGGACUGGUGAGUAACGCGUGAGGAACCUGCCUUUCGGAGGGGGACAACAGUUGGAAACGACUGCUAAUACCGCAUGAUACAUUUGGAUCGCAUGGUCUGAAUGUCAAAGAUUUAUCGCCGAAAGAUGGCCUCGCGUCUGAUUAGCUAGUUGGUGAGGUAAUGGCCCACCAAGGCGACGAUCAGUAGCCGGACUGAGAGGUUGGCCGGCCACAUUGGGACUGAGACACGGUCCAA